rnacentral:lncRNA from 10 species
AAUGAAUCUGGGAAAAAUAUUCAUGAUGUGUUGUUACUUUGUGGAGGGAGGUGUGACAUUAAAAAUCAGUUUAAAAAGUUUGAAGGCACUACACUAAUGGGACAAUAAUUAUUAUCUCUGAGAAUUGAGAUUGCUGCCACUUUUUUCUUCUUCUCACUAAUCUAUGGUUUCUAAUUCCAAUAAUUAAAAUGCCGUCUUAGUAAAUAUGUAGUGCUCACUUUGGCAGCACAUGUACUAAAAUUGGAAUGGUACAGAGAAGAUUACCAUGGCCCGUGUGAAAGUAUGACAUACAAAUUCGUGAAGUGUUCCUGAAACCUGCACAUAUCAAUAUUCACCUGAAAUUGAAUGGGCUAAAUGCCCCAAUUAAAAGGCACAGAAUGGCUACUGAAUAAAGAAGCAGGACCCAACAUUAUGCUCUCUUCAAGAGACCCGUAGGCUCAAAGUAAGGGGAUGGAUUAAAAUCUGCCAAGUGAAUGGAAAACAGUAAAAAGCAUAAGCUGCUAUUCUAAUUUCACACAAAACAGACUUUAAACCAACAAUGGUUAAAAAAAGGACAUUAAAUAAACAUAAAGGGUUUAAGUUAACAAGACAUAACUUUCCUAAAGAAAUAUUCAUCCAACACAGGAGCACCCAGAUUCAUAAAGCAAGUUCUUUAGAGACCUAUAAAGAGACUUAAAUAACCACACAAUAAUAUUUGGAGAUUUAAACAUUCCACUGACAGUAUUAGAUAGAUCAUUGAGGCAGAAAAAUUGACAAGUGGAACCUAAUUACACUAAUUUAACUAAAGAGCUUCUGCAAAGCUAGAAACUAUCAACAGUGUAGACAGACAACCUAGAGAAUGGGAGGAAAUAUUUGCAAACUAUACACCCUGCAAAGGUCUGAUAUCCAGAAUCUAUAAGGAACUUAAACAAAUAAAAAACAAAAAAGCGCAUUAAAAACUGGGCAAAGGACAUGAGCAGGCACUUUUCAAAAGAAGAUAUACAAGUGGCCAACAAGCAUAUAAGAAAAACCUCAACAUCACUAAUCAUUAAAGAAAUGCAAAUCAAAACCGCAAUGAGAAAUCAUCUCACACCAAUCAGAAUAGCUAUUAUUAAAAAGUCUAGGCCGGGCACGGCAGCUCCCGCCUGUAAUCCCAGCACUUUGGGAGGCUGAGGCGGGCAGAUCAUGAGGUCAGAAGAUCAAGACCAUCCAGACUAACACGGUGAAACCCUGUCUCUACUAAAAAAUACAAAAAAUUAGCUGGGUGUGGUGGCGGGUGCUUCUAGUCCCAGCUCCUUGGGAGGGUGAGGCAGGAGAAUGGCGUAAACCCGGGAGGCAGGGCUUGCAGUGAGCCAACAUUGUGCCGCUGCAGUCCAGCCUGGGUGACAGAGCGAGACUCCAUCUCAAAAAAUAAAAUAAUAAAAUAAUAUAAAAGUCAAAAACCAACAGAUACUGGCAAGUUUGUGGAGAAGAAGGAACGCUUAUACACUGCUGGUAGAAAUGUACAUUAGUUCAGCCAUUGUAGAAAGUAGUGUGGUGACCUCAGAUAACUUAAAAAAGAAGUACCACUCAACCCAGCACUCAUAUUUUUGGAAAUGUACCCAAAGAAAUUACAUCAUUGUACAAUAAAGACACAUGCAUUCAUAUAUUCAUUGCAGCACUAUUCAGAAUAGGAAAGUCAUGGAAUCAUCCUAAAUGUCCAUCAAUGGUAAACUGAAUAAAGAAAAUGUGGUACAUAUACACCAUGGAAUACUAUGCAGCCAUUAAAAAGAACAAGAU